GUUCGGAGCAGAUAUGCUCUGACUCAUAUUUUAAAAUCUCUCUUUGGUUGCUGUGUAAACAACAGACUGGAGAGAGGCCAAGAGCACAAGCAGAAAAACCAGCCAGGGUGCUAUUUCAGCAGUCUAGGUGGAGAGUCAUGGUGACUUGGACCCAUCCAACAGAGACGAAGACAACUAAAUGGAUUCAGGAUAUAUUCUAGAGAUAACGAGUCCUAACUCUUUGCCAAGGAUAUGGCAAAGACUCUGAUGGAAAAGGCAGUAAUGUGUACACAAAGGUGAACAUAAAUAAAUGUGUGUAUGAUAAACGCUGGGAAUGGACAUAGAAAAACGGGUAUGCAAUUGGACAGAGACGACGGGAGACAGAAGGAAAGAUACUUGCUCAGCUGUAUCUAAGUAAGUUCAUAGGAGUUUCAUGGUCUGAAAAAUCUGUGACAGUGGAAUUUCUACUAAGAAGCUUAAAAAAGUUUCACCUUCUCCUUGGACACUUCAGAAUAAGGCCUUCUUAGAAUAUAAUGCAUUAUAUCACAAAUAUACUUUUAUAUAAAAUAUUUGGGACCAAAACAAGAGUAAAGAACCAGGAUCCGAAAGGGUGAAUGCCUACUAAAUAUCUUUGAUUAUCUAAAGCUGUUUAAAAGCUAUUAGAUUGGCACCUGGAACCCCAAAAUAUCCACUUUUCACUGGGAAGGAGUGGCUGUGCCUCUUCAAUCAUCCCCUAAAUGCAAAGAAGUUUGACCCCCACGCAAUGGAUAAAAGUCACCCAAAAAAUGAACAAAAGAGGUGUUUGGAAAAACCAGAACACCAUUCAUCCCAGCUAACGACUUGUUCAUUAUGAGUGAUGAUGGAUAAAGACUUCUCAUGCUGAGAUGAAAUCAAGAUUUAUAUGCAUUGUUUCCUCUCCCAACUUGUGGGAAGAUCAUCAUCAUUUAAUUCUAUCUCUGCGGCCAGUGAUGGGCAUCCAGAGAGCUGGUUAUCAAACGGCGCAGUCAGCUGGCAAAAGCCGAAACGUGCAGUUGGCACAUCUGGACGGAGCCGCCACAGCCGAGGGUGAACAAUGACUCCUGGCAAGCAUCCAAAUUGCUUGCAGACGCUAGCAGGUCUCAUCUACAACCGCCCCUACCAGCAUCUCUCUCUCUCUCUCUUUUUUAUGAGAAUCAGAUUUUCAUUGCUCCAUUCAAUUGCUCUCCUCUGCCAUUUUUUACAGCUCUUAUCGUUCCCCUGGAAUAUGGCCUUGAGACAGCUCAUCCGUGUCCUUCACUGUGUUAUCUCUUCUAACUUUUAUUAAAACUUCAGCUUUCAUCUGAAGAUAGCUAAUUAAAUCUGGAACAGAUUAUAUGCCUCCCCUUAAAAAGAGCACAAAACUAUUUUCUUCAACCCCAGCAAUGCUUUUUUUCCUUUCCAAAAGGUAAAAUCAAAGGUGUUUAAGAAGUCUCUUUAUUUACAGAGCUAAGAUAUUCAACACGUCAUAUAUGAGUUGAUUUAUAUUAAAGUUGUCUGUGAUAUGACAAAUCUUUGAGCUAUUUCUCAAGAUGAUUAUUUCUCAAUCCUGGUAUAUAUCCUUUAAAUAUCACAGCUAAUACUAUAAGCAUAUUUUCUAUAUAAAGUUGGGUAAUGAGGAGUUAAGUUAUUAGUGCACAUCAAGUGAUUUGUCUUUUUAUUCGUCUUUUUUUUUUAAAGGUUGCCCUCAUUUGAUAAGGAUGAAGAGAAAUUUUUCUUUUCUUCCCCAUACCACAAAUAUUAGUAACUAAAAGUUCUCCCAUGGGAAAUUAUGUGAAAACAUGAAAUUAAUAGCAGUGAUUCAAGUUUAGGACUGAUUCGGUUUUCAAGACAGCUUUAUAUCAACUGAUCAUCAGCACAAGUAGCUCUGUCUGAGUCUACCACAAAUUAUUAAUGAAGGAACUUCCACAAUUGAUAUGAAUACAUUCUUCUCACAUAUGCCGCUGACCCAGUCCCUUUCUGAGGCCGAGGGGCAGUGUACAAUCACCUUUUCUUGCAUAGAUCAGCUAACCAAACCUUCUAGCAAUGACAUCUGAAAGAAUCUAGCCAGCCAUCACACACACACACCCCCUAUGCCCUUUUAAUAAGGGUUAAGCUUCUACUACUGUGAGAAUAUGAUUUAACUAUCCCACCUGAAACUUUCUGGGAUCCUUUUCUUCGCUUCACUGCCUUCAGUAAGAUUUCCUUCAUGGUAACCUUUGUGUUGUCCACCUGAAUAAGGGAGAAUCCAUGAGCAGCAUUUCUGUAGGAAAAGACAAAUAUUAAAUCAUCACCAACAUUCAUCCAGAGAGAUGUUACUGCAAUCUUCACUGUGUUUAAGCAAGUUUUUUUUGUUGUUGUUUGUUUUGUUUUGUUUUUGAAAUGGAGUCUCGCUCUGUCACCCAGGCUGGAGUGCAGUGGUGCAAUCUCGGCUCACUGCAAGAUCCGCCUCCUGGGUUCACACCAUUCUCCUGCCUCAGCCUCCCAAGUAGCUGGGACUACAGGCGCCCGCCACUACAUCCGGCUAAUUUUUUGUAUUUUUUUUUUUUUUUAGUAGAGACAGGGUUUCACCAUGUUAGCCAGGAUGGUCUCGAUCUAUUGACCUCGUGAUCUGCCCGCCUCGGCCUCCCAAAGUGCUGGGAUUACAGGCAUGAGCCACCGCGCCCGGCCGUGUUUAAGCAAGUUUUAAAAAUACAUAAAUCCAUUGUGGCACAAUGUAAUAUGUAUCACCAUGCUACACCUGCGGACGCUUCCGAGCGGCUGCCAUGUCUGUGCAGUCAGGAAUGAUAAGUGAACCACCCGUGAAUGUUAACGAUAGUGAUCAUUCUGAGCUUUUUCAGUCCAGCUGAGCAAUGUCCACCUAAACACUACCCCUCCUCUGCUAUAAAACAAAGUCGGAGAAGAAAAAUGUAGAAGUGGCAGAGAUCUACUCAGUAACCCAUUCAAGAAAUACGUGUGACAGAUCUAUCACAGUAAUGGAGUGAUGGUGAGUAUUGUGGGCACAGAUAAUUCAGUUCUUGCUCUCCAAGGGUUGUUUAUUAAUAGUAACAAUAACAGCAGCUAACACUAAGAUGAUGCGUACAUAUGCUAAACACUGUUCUAAGUGCUUCAGAUCUAUUAACUCAUUUAAUCCUCAUAACUGAUCUGUGAGGUAGGUAUUAUUAUCUCCAUUUCACUGAGCCACAGAAAAGUUAAAUAUUCAUCCAGGACCACACACACUAGUAAGGGCAAGGCUAGGAUCGGCAUCCAAGCGAUCUGGCUCACAGCCCACCAUGCUGUCACCUACUGCACUAUAGCAGUGGCUGAAUGUCAGCCUUAAGACAGUGAGAUUCACAGGUUAAACCAACACCAGAUUCCCCAGCCUCAAUCUUUCAGCAGAGGGUUGGAAAGGGCAUGGACUUUAAAGUCAGGGAUGGCGUCAAAUCCAGGCCUAAGAACAAUAUUGCUCACCCUCAGGUUCCACGCCUCUAAAUUGUUCAUAAAAACUGGGCUAUUUUGGGAUUAAGUGAGAUAGCAUAUGCAUAGUUGGCCCUUAGUAAGUAUUAGUUCACUCCCUAUGUCAAACCUACUUGCCUCUUUCUGUUUCAGCUUAGUGUCUUCCCAGCCACUUCUUGUCCCUCCUCUACUGGGAGACAAAUGGAAGGAGGAAAGGGGGGAAAUGACGAGGAGGAGUAGUUACGGCUUUAUUUAUUUUGCUGGGAUUUCCUUCUCUGAAACUUUAGACACAUCCCUACAGACUCCUGAAGGUCUGCUCUGUUCUGCAUCUGUAGGAGAAGCUUUACUAACUUAGAAUAUAGACCAGAAAGGCGAGUAAGAGGUUGCUGAACCAAGAAAAUACACACAGGGCAAACGGUCAGUAAUCUGUACUAUUUCAUCAGACGACUGAGAAAAAGAAAAUUUAUUGACACUUUUGUUCUUAAUGCUCACAUAUAAAGAUUUCACUUUACCUCGUGUUUUCAGAAACACUCCAGACACAUCAAAUAAACUCUCUUGAAUUUUAAAAUAGAAAAAGGAUUGACUGGGCUAUGUGUGUGUCUGGGAGUGGGAACACAGGGAUGGGAGUAAUUCAGGAUCAAAAAACAGAGUAUUAAGUUUAAAGCAGUUGUUACUCUCUGCCUUCCCCCUCCUUCCUAUUCUCCAGAAGGCAGGGUUCAUAGUGAAACACUGUGUAGUCUUAGAUGCCCCUCCUGGAAAGGCAUAUGAAUCCUAGCCCCACUCCACUCUACUGAAAACUCAGUGAUUUAAAGCCUCUUGCUUUAAAAAAGGACUUCUGGUUCAAAAGACUGCUAUGAUCAUGUGUUAACAUUCAUGUAGAAAAAGUUCUAGUCAUAUUAAUAAUCAAUAAAAAUGCAAGUAAAAACUAUCGAAAUGCCACUGUGUAUAUCUUUUAGAGUAGAAAAAAAAACUUCUAAUACCUUGUAAUGGUAAAACUAUAAAAAUGAUUUUAGGAAUUCUGUUGGUAACAUUGUAAAUUAGGACAUCUUUCAGAGGGCUAUUGUCAAUAAAAAGUGAGUCUAAAGAUGUUUUUACUCUGACCAAUAAUCCUACUUACAAGGCAUGAUCCUAAGGAAGUUGUUCAACAGAAUAAAAGGUAUAUAGAUAAUGACCAUCAUCAUCAAAUUACUUAUUAAAACCACACAAGGAAGCAAUCUAAAUAUUCUGUGAUCGGCUUCCACUACAACCCAUACACUUUUCUUUUAUACUGCUUAUCACAUUUUAAUUAUUUGACAACUGUCUCACUACUAGAUAGUAAGCUCCAUGAGGGUAGUGCUGUCUCUGCCUAGAUCUCUGGCACAUAAAUACAGACUGUAGGAAUUAAGAACAAAUACUGAAACGUUUAUAAUUUAUUAUUUUUAGAUGGAGUCUCACUUUGUCGCCCAGGCUGGAGUGCAAUGGCGCGAUCUCAGCUAACUGCUACCUCCGCCUCCCGGGUUCCAGCGAUUCUCCUGCCUCAGACUCCCGAGUAGCUGGGAUUACAGGUGCCCACCACUGCAUCCGGUUAAUUUUUGUAUUUUUAGUAGAGACGGGGUUUCACCAUGUUGGCCAAGCUGGUUUCGAACUCUUGACCCUCCUCGGCCUCCCAAAUCCUGGCCUGCCUCGGUCUCCCAAAGUGCUGGGAUUACAGGCGUGAGCCACUGCGCCUGACCUAAUUUAAUGUCAAGUAAAAAUAACACAAAAAUAUGUGUGCUACAAGUGAAACUGAGUAACAUAUACACACGAUUAUUAUACAAGAUUAAAAAUAGUUAAGAUGGAGGCAUCAUUGGCCAACUUUUCAAUUAUUUUAAAUAUCCUUUAAAGUUAUUUUAGUACCUCUGAAAUGAAAAAGCAGGAAAAAAUUUGCUGUUAUUUACACCAAACUUGACCUUGUAGUAGGGAUGAAACGGCCACCAUGAAAGCCUGAGGGCCCACUCCCCAGCUUACCCCCAGGUACUCAGUUAUUCUUUCUUUGCUCAAGGGUAGAAAGAGCCAAAAUACUCAUAUAUCAUAUGUAGCAUAACCCUAUUUUCUGUAACAAUCUCAAACAAAGGCAGUAUGUUGAGAGAGACAGGGAAAUGUCUUCUAAAGCAAUCCCUUUUGAGCAGUGAAUUUGCUGGUUACUAACAGCAGGGGGUGCCAAAGGGAUCGCUAUUGUUCCCAGGAGACAGCCAUGAGAAGGACUGCUGAGGCCUAGGUUGAAAAAAAGCUUAGGUUUGAGAGUAAAAUCCAAAUGCAGCAGGUUUUCCCUUAACAACUGGGACAUGUGGAUAAAACUCAGGAGCUCAUAAACUUGAAUGGAUAAAAACUACAUUUUAAUUUUCACUAACUUCUAAUAUUUUGCAUUUCCUUGAUUUAUAAGUGUAGGCAAACAAUCACAGCAGAAUCACAGUGCCAGUGACUCUGUCAUGAACAGAAGUCAUAGCUAACACUACAGCACAUUACAGCUGUUGCAGAUUUCUCAAAUACCAUUUAUGCUCAUCACCGCUUUGAAACAACAGGCUUCAGGAGUUACUGUUAGGUAUACAGCUGGAUAUUGUUUAAUCUACUAGUAAAGCCACACAUAUUACUAUAUCAUGAAUUUGUUCAAUAAUCUGAUAACUUUAAAUAACAGAAUACUUUUAUAUUCCAG
rnacentral:lncRNA from 10 species